rnacentral:rRNA from 1 species
AAACUCAAACCCAAAGAAUUUGGCGGUCUUUAAACCAAAUAAGAGGAACUUGCCAUAUAAACGAUGCCCCACGAAAAACCCUACUCAAUUGAAUAUUUGUUUGUAUACCACCAUCUAAAAACUGUCUAUAACACUUUUAUAAAAAAUGAAUCUUUUAUGUUAGGUCAAGGUGCAGCUUAUAAUUAAGCAGAGGUUAGUUACAAUCUUUUUAAAGGCUGGAUAGAAGCUGAAAAUCUAUUAAAAGAGGAUUUUAAAGUAAUAAGAAUUUAAUAUGACAUAAUGACUACUGACCUUAAAGAUGCACAUAUCGCCCGUCGCUCGCGGGAA